rnacentral:rRNA from 1 species
UACGUAGGGUGCGAGCGUUAAUCGGAAUUACUGGGCGUAAAGCGUGCGCAGGCGGUUCGCUAAGACCGGUGUGAAAUCCCCGGGCUUAACCUGGGAACUGCAUUGGUGACUGGCGGGCUAGAGUAUGGCAGAGGGGGGUAGAAUUCCACGUGUAGCAGUGAAAUGCGUAGAGAUGUGGAGGAAUACCGAUGGCGAAGGCAGCCCCCUGGGCCAAUACUGACGCUCAUGCACGAAAGCGUGGGGAGCAAACAGG